rnacentral:rRNA from 1 species
CCAAUAGCGUAUAUUAAAGUUGUUGCAGUUAAAAAGCUCGUAGUUGAAUUUCGGGGUCAGUGGGUCGGUCGUGCCACUGGUAUGUACUGGCCCUACUGAUUCCUCCUUCUUGAAGAACUGUAAUGCCAUUAAUUUGGUGUUGCAGGGAAACAGGACUGUUACUUUGAAAAAAUUAGAGUGUUUAAAGCAGGCAAUCGCUUGAAUACAUUAGCAUGGAAUAAUGAAAUAGGACGUUCGAUCCUAUUUUGUUGGUUUCUAGGGUUGACGUAAUGAUUAAUAGGGAUAGUUGGGGGCAUUAGUAUUCAAUUGUCAGAGGUGAAAUUCUUGGAUUUAUUGAAGACUAACUACUGCGAAAGCAUUUGCCAAGGAUGUUUUCAUUAAUCAAGAACGAAAGUUAGGGGAUCGAAGACGAUCAGAUACCGUCGUAGUCUUAACCAUAAACUAUGCCGACUAGGGAUCGGAUGAUGUUAAUUUUUUAAUGACUCAUUCGGCGCCUUACG